AUACGUAGGGGGCAAGCGUUAUCCGGAAUCAUUGGGCGUAAAGAGUGCGUAGGUGGUUUCUUAAGCGUGGGGUUUAAGGCUACGGCUUAACCGUAGUUCGCCCCAUGAACUGGGAGACUUGAGUGCAGGAGGGGCAAGUGGAAUUCCUAGUGUAGCGGUGAAAUGCGUAGAUAUUAGGAGGAACACCAGUGGCGAAGGCGACUUUCUGGACUGUAACUGACACUGAGGCACGAAAGCGUGGGGAGCAAACAGGAUUAGAUCCCCUGGUAGUCCACGCCGUAAACGAUGAGCACUAGGUGUCGGGGAGACAAUCCUCGGUGCCGCAGUUAACGCAUUAAGUGCUCCGCCUGGGGAGUACGUUCGCAAGAAUAAAGCUCAAAGGAAUUGACGGGG
rnacentral:rRNA from 1 species